GCAGCAGUAGGAAUAUUGGCCAUGGCCGGAGCUUGAUCCAGCCAUGCCGCGUGCAGGAUGACGGCCCUAUGGGUUGUAAACUGCUUUUAUACGGAAGAAAUGCGCCCACGUGUGGGCGUCUGACGGUACCGUAAGAAUAAGGACCGGCUAACUCCGUGCCAGCAGCCGCGGUAAUACGGAGGGUCCGAGCGUUAUCCGGAAUCAUUGGGUUUAAAGGGUCCGUAGGCGGGCCUGUAAGUCAGGGGUGAAAGUUUGUGGCUCAACCAUAAAAUUGCCUUUGAUACUGCAGGUCUUGAGUCAUGGUGGGGUCGCCGGAACAUGUGGUGUAGCGGUGAAAUGCAUAGAUAUCACAUAGAACACCGAUCGCGAAGGCAGGUGGCCAACCAUGUACUGACGCUGAUGGACGAAAGCGUGGGUAGCGAACGGGAUUAGAUACCCCGGUAGUCCACGCCGUAAACGAUGGAUACUAGCUGUGGGGACUUCGGUCUCCGUGGCCAAGCGAAAGUGAUAAGUAUCCCACCUGGGGAGUACGUUCGCAAGAAUGAAACUCAAAGGAAUUGACGGGGGCCCGCACAAGCGGUGGAGCAUGUGGUUUAAUUCGAUGAUACGCGAGGAACCUUACCAGGGCUUAAAUGCAGGCUGCAUGGGGUAGAGAUACCCCUUUCUUCGGACCGCCUGCAAGGUGCUGCAUGGUUGUCGUCAGCUCGUGCCGUAGGUGUCCGGUUA
rnacentral:rRNA from 1 species